GGAGGUGCGCUGAUCACAGAAGUAUCCUGUCUGUCUGAAGGCCACAGUCUGGAGGGAGAGCAAUGAAGACAGUGACUGGACCUUUGUUCCUGUGCUUGUGGCUGCAGCUGAACUGUGUGAGCAGAGGAGAGCAGGUGGAGCAGCGCCCUCCUCACCUGAGUGUCCGGGAGGGAGACAGCGCCGUUAUCAUCUGCACCUACACAGACAGUGCCACUGCUUACUUCUUCUGGUACAAGCAAGAGCCGGGGACAGGUCUCCAGUUGCUUAUGAGUGUUCUUUCAAAUGUGGACAGAAAAGAAGAACAAGGACUCACUGUCUUACUGAAUAAGAAAGACAAAAUUCUUUAUCUGAACAUUACAGCUGCUCGUCUUGAGGACUCAGCCACGUACUUCUGCGCAGCCAGUGCACAGUGCUCCCCAGGCACCUGCUGCCUGCACACAAACCUGGGGACAGGGGGAGCAACCUUAAAAAUUGUUUUGAAAUAG